rnacentral:rRNA from 1 species
AAUAUUUGACUAUGGGGGCAACCCUGAUCCAGCCAUGCCGCGUGUGUGAAGAAGGNCUNNGGAUUNUNAAGCACUUUAAGUAGNNNNNAAGGGCUUUAGGUAAAUACACUGAAUUUGAGACGUUACCAAGAGAAAAAGCACCUGCUACUCUUUUUCCAGCAGACGCGGUAAUACAGAGGGUGCAAGAGUUAAUCGGAAUUACUGGGCGUAAAGCGCGCGUAGGUGGUUCAGUAAGAUGGGUGUGAAAUCCCCGGGCUUAACCUGGGAACUGCUUUCAUAACUGCUGAGCUAGAGUACGGUAGAGGGUAGUGGAAUUUCCUGUGUAGCGGUGAAAUGCGUAGAUAUAGGAAGGAACACCAGUGGCGAAGGCGACUACCUGGACUGAUACUGACACUGAGGUGCGAAAGCGUGGGGAGCAAA